rnacentral:sRNA from 1 species
ACAUAGCCCUGAUAACAGCGGCAUCCUUUUACUUUUUUCUUUAAAAAGUAAAAGAUAUAGCGAAUAGCGGGAAAUAGC